GGCGCUAUCGUCUAGGGGUCAGGACAGGUGGUUCUCAUCCAUCAAACUGGAGUUCGAUUCUCCAUAGCGCUACCA
rnacentral:tRNA from 1 species